rnacentral:rRNA from 1 species
AGAGUGAACGCUGGCGGCAGGCCUAACACAUGCAAGUCGAACGGCAGCACAGGGGAGCUUGCUCCCUGGGUGGCGAGUGGCGGACGGGUGAGGAAUACAUCGGAAUCUACCCAGUCGUGGGGGAUAACCUCGGGAAACCGGGACUAAUACCGCAUACGACCCACGGGUGAAAGCGGAGGACCGCAAGGCUUCGCGCGAUUGGAUGAGCCGAUGUCGGAUUAGCUUGUGCGGGGUAAUGGCCCACCAAGGCGACGAUCCGUAGCUGGUCUGAGAGGAUGAUCAGCCACACUGGAACUGAGACACGGUCCAGACUCCUACGGGAGCAGCAGUGGGGAAUAUUGGACAAGUGGGCGCAAGCCCUGAUCCAGCCAUGCCGCGUGAGUGAAGAAGGCCCCUCGGGUUAGUAAAGCUUCUUUUGUUAGGGAAGAAAAAGCAAAGUCGGUUAAUACCCGGUUGUACUGACGUACCAAAGAAUAAGCACGCUAACUCUGCAGACAGCCGCGUAAC